rnacentral:rRNA from 1 species
UGGUGCUUAUUAGUUGAGUAAGUAAACAUUUAUCUUGUAUAUAGUUCUAGGUAAAAUUUUGAUAAUGACAACUUUUUAUUUAUUUGUCUUGACCAAAUCUUGUGCCAGCAGUCGCGGCAACACAAGGAAGACAAGUGUUAUUCAUCUUAAAUAGGUUUAAAGGGUACCUAGACGGUAAAUUAGGCCAUAGUAGGUACGUUUUUACUAGAGUUAUACAUGCAAGGGGAUUGUGUCAGUAUUACCAGAGUAGAGAUGCAAUUUUUUGAUACUGUUAAGACUG